rnacentral:rRNA from 1 species
CAUGCAAGUCGAGCGGUAAGGCCCCUUCGGGGGUACACGAGCGGCGAACGGGUGAGUAACACGUGGGUGACCUGCCCUCAGCUCUGGGAUAAGCCCGGGAAACUGGGUCUAAUACCGGAUAUGACCUGCUGUUGCAUGACAGUGGGUGGAAAGUUUUUCGGCUGAGGAUGGGCCCGCGGCCUAUCAGCUUGUUGGUGGGGCGAUGGCCUACCAAGGCGACGACGGGUAGCCGGCCUGAGAGGGCGACCGGCCACACUGGGACUGAGAUACGGCCCAGACUCCUACGGGAGGCAGCAGUGGGGAAUAUUGCGCAAUGGGCGAAAGCCUGACGCAGCGACGCCGCGUGGGGGAUGACGGCCUUCGGGUUGUAAACCUCUUUCGACCGGGACGAAGGGAAACUGACGGUACCGGUAGAAGAAGCACCGGCCAACUACGUGCCAGCAGCCGCGGUAAUACGUAGGGUGCGAGCGUUGUCCGGAAUUAUUGGGCGUAAAGAGCUCGUAGGCGGUGUGUCACGUCGGUCGUGAAAACUUGGGGCUCAACCCUGAGCGUGCGGUCGAUACGGGCAUCACUUGAGUUCGGCAGGGGAGACUGGAAUUCCUGGUGUAGCGGUGAAAUGCGCAGAUAUCAGGAGGAACACCGGUGGCGAAGGCGGGUCUCUGGGCCGAUACUGACGCUGA